GUAGGUGGCAAGCGUUGUCCGGAAUUAUUGGGCGUAAAGCGCGCGCAGGCGGUUCUUUAAGUCUGAUGUGAAAGCCCACGGGCUCAACCGCGGAGGGUCAUUGGAAACUGGAGAACUUGAGUACAGAAGAGGAAAGCGGAAUUCCACGUGUAGCGGUGAAAUGCGUAGAGAUGUGGAGGAACACCAGUGGCGAAGGCGGCCUUCUGGUCUGUAACUGACGCUGAGGCGCGAAAGCGUGGGGAGCAAACAGGAUUAGAUACCCUGGUAGUCCACGCCGUAAACGAUGAGUGCUAAGUGUUAGGGGGUUUCCGCCCCUUAGUGCUGCAGCUAACGCAUUAAGCACUCCGCCUGGGGAGUACGGCCGCAAGGCUG
rnacentral:rRNA from 1 species